rnacentral:rRNA from 1 species
AGAGUUUGAUCCUGGCUCAGGACGAACGCUGGCGGCGUGCUUAACACAUGCAAGUCGAACGGAAAGGCCCUUCGGGGUACUCGAGUGGCGAACGGGUGAGUAACACGUGGGUGAUCUGCCCUGCACUCUGGGAUAAGCCUGGGAAACUGGGUCUAAUACCGGAUAGGACCGCAUGCUUCAUGGUGUGUGGUGCAAAGCUUUUGCGGUGUGGGAUGAGCCCGCGGCCUAUCAGCUUGUUGGUGGGGUAAUGGCCUACCAAGGCGACGACGGGUAGCCGGCCUGAGAGGGUGACCGGCCACACUGGGACUGAGAUACGGCCCAGACUCCUACAGGAGGCAGCAGUGGGGAAUAUUGCACAAUGGGCGCAAGCCUGAUGCAGCGACGCCGCGUGAGGGAUGACGGCCUUCGGGUUGUAAACCUCUUUCAGUAGGGACGAAGCGAAAGUGACGGUACCUACAGAAGAAGGACCGGCCAACUACGUGCCAGCAGCCGCGGUAAUACGUAGGGUCCGAGCGUUGUCCGGAAUUACUGGGCGUAAAGAGCUCGUAGGUGGUUUGUCGCGUUGUUCGUGAAAACUCACAGCUUAACUGUGGGCGUGCGGGCGAUACGGGCAGACUAGAGUACUGCAGGGGAGACUGGAAUUCCUGGUGUAGCGGUGGAAUGCGCAGAUAUCAGGAGGAACACCGGUGGCGAAGGCGGGUCUCUGGGCAGUAACUGACGCUGAGGAGCGAAAGCGUGGGUAGCGAACAGGAUUAGAUACCCUGGUAGUCCAA